GACGAACGCUGGCGGCGUGCUUAACACAUGCAAGUCGAACGGAAAGGCCCUGCUUUUUGGGGUUGCUCGGUUGGCGAACGGGUGAUUAACACUUGAGUAACCUGCCCUUGACUUUGGGAUAACUUCAGGAAACUGGGGCUAUUACCGGAUAGGAGCUCCGGCUGCAUGGUGGGGGUGGGAAAGUUUGGGGGGUUGGGGUUGGAUCGCGGGCUUAUCGGCUGGUUGGUGGGGUAGUGGCUUACCAAGGCUUUGCCGGUUAGCCGGCCUGAGAGGUUGACCGGCAACAUGGGGACUGAGAUACGGCCCAGACUCCUACGGGAGGAAGAAGUGGGGAAUAUGGCAAAAGGGGCGGAAGCCGGAUGCAGAAACGCGGCGGGCGGGAGGACGGCCUUCGGGUUGUAAACCGCUUUCGCCGGGGACGAAGCGUGGGGGACGGUAAUGGGUAAAGAAGCACGGGUGACCUACGG
rnacentral:rRNA from 1 species